UUCUCUUCUCAGUUUUUGGUCUUUUUAAUCUCUACCCCUCUUUGUGUGCCUUUUUUCUUUCAAUGUUGUUCUUUGUUACUUUUCCUCAAAUGUUGUUUUCCUCCUUUUGUGUGUACUUUUUGUCUCCCUUUACUUUUGUUUUUGGUUUUUCAAGUUUUUUUUUUAUUGUCUGUAGUGUGAGUAUAUAUAGUGCGUAGGGUGGGAAGUUGAGGGAGUUUAAGAGGAGG
rnacentral:lncRNA from 1 species